AACGAACGCUGGCGGCAUGCCUAACACAUGCAAGUCGAACGAGACCUUCGCGUCUAGUGGCGCACGGGAGCGUAACGCAGAGUAACCUGCCGUUAGGUGCGGAACAACUCCGCGAACGGGGUCCUAGUACCGGAUAAUGUCUUCGGAUCAAAGAUUUAUCGCCUUUGGAUGGGCCCGCGUUGGAUUAGCGAGUUGGUAGGGUAAAAGCAUACCAAGGCGACGAUCCAUAGCUGGUCUGAGAGGAUGAUCAGCCACACUGGGACUGAGACACGGCCCAGACUCCUACGGGAGGCAGCAGUGGGGAAUAUUGGACAAUGGGCGAAAGCCUGAUCCAGCAAUGCCGCGUGAGUGAUGAAGGCCUUAGGGUUGUAAAGCUCUUUCACCCGGGAUGAUAAUGACAGUACCGGGAGAAUAAGCUCCGGCUAACUCCGUG
rnacentral:rRNA from 1 species